AUCAGAUCCAGACUUUUAAGUGCUCAUAAAAGUGUGAAAUCUGCAGCGACACUAACUCUUCAAAGGCAGAGGAAAACAAUUCACGUUUUUGUGGCCCUUGCAGUGAACUUUGCUGCCUUCUAGACUCACCUAGCUUCAGGGGAAAAGCGCUAACUUGGGUUUCAUCUCACAUUCAAAACUGGGUGAGCAUGAGAAAUACAACCCCAGGGCCAAGGUCGCCAAGAAAAGGGAUUAUGCUGGCCACGUAAACACUGGCCGCGGGCAGGGAGGUGCUGGCCCGUUAGUGCAAGGAAACUGUCUCCCAUUAAGGAAGGAAGCGAAGCCCUGCCCAAGGGGGACAGUAAACGCUUCCAUCCGACCGGGAGCAGGUGCCUGUGCUCAGUCAGGCGAGCUGCGUGUCUGCAGGAGGAGAACAAAGUCAGGAACGUUCUAAACACGCCAACCAUUCGCUCGCAAGGCAUUCGAUGGCCGUGUUUGGCCUGCGACCCUUCUCCUGCUGCCCCAGUGACCUGCUCCCCCGAGCUGCUGGCUUGGGUGCCCAGGGUCCCUCCCGUGUCUCCACCCGACAGUGCUCCAGGCCUUUCCUGCCCCUCGGUCCUGCGUCCAGAGCCUCCAUCACAGCCUGCGUGGACCCCAGGGCACAGACGGGCACGGGACUGCCCCGCAGCUUGACUGUUGCCCUUGGCGCCCGGGGACCCCUGGCAAGAGCACGGCCCAGAGGGAGGCUCCUCCCCCUGCUUGCGGAUCACUGCGCAGGGCAGGACGCCCGAGUGCCUGUAAGCAAGAGUGCAGACUACUGGCGUCACGGGGGUCGGUAGCGUAGAGCUUAGAAUUAAUGUGCAAAUUGGUUGAAAAGUGCCAUGUGCUCAGGCGUUGGACGCUCUAAGGAGGUGAUCAGAUCAACCGGGCAGGGAGGUCAGGGGGCCACGGGGCGGUGACGCCCAAUCUAACACUGAAACAAACUCAGGAACCUUUGCGUCGUGGCGCUGGGUCAAGGCUCCUGGUUCCAGAAGGUUCUGGCUGAGAGGGGCCCGUGGACGCAGGAACAGUGCAGCUGCUGAGAGGCUGCGCACAGGCUUCGUCGCUGGUUGGGCAGCCGCCUUCCAGCCCCUGGUGUUUUGGAUCGUGAUGUGACUUGAGCGAACGCGGAGCCCGCAGGGGACACAGGGAGGACUCGGGGUCCCUGCGGCUAGCCGGCCGCCCAUCUCGGGAACGUCACACUGCCUCCUGCUGGAGACACGGGGACCAGAGGUGCCCGCGCGUGUUUCCGGAGCUGAUUUACACCGAGAGUAAAGGACACGGAGGAAAGCUGCCCGUCUCAUACGAAUACGAAUUCAUUUCGGGUCACUGUACAUAAUCACUUCUUCUUGAGGCGUGUGAAGAAUUCAGCCAUUUUUCUUCACGGAUGAGCUGAUAGUUUUGGGGACAAGUGUGUUAAUUUGUGCUUCCUCCAGUCCAUUCCUCCCUAAAAGCUAAAGUCCUGAACACAGGUCUCUCAGGUUUUUCUAAAAUGUAAAUAAGCGUCUCCUGGAGAAAGAGAAAAAUCAUAGCCUGGAAAGUGUUCAGGGAAAAUACUUUGCUUUUCAGAAAAUGGUCUGCGAAGAAACUUGAGCUAAAUGGGAAAAUAUCCCUAAUUGUGCGGCUGUCCUCCCUCCAGGGUCGCAAAAUGCUGGGUGAUCUUUCGCAACGUUUGCUCUUCUGAGUUUGGUCAUCAGAAUCUAGGCUGUGCUCACGUGUCUCUGACUUGAAACUCUGCUUUACUAGGUAUUAAAAGACUUGAGAAACCUCUUUCUCAUCACCCUAUUCCUGUUUCCAUGACUACCUGUUUUUUAAAAAAGUACCAGUCUUUCUGAAGCUGUAUAGCGUUUUCAGUUGCACACCUAAGGAGCAAUUUUGACUUUUAUUUCAGGAGAUGGUUUGAAGCUUUAACCACUUUAAUAUUUGCCAGUAGAUUGAAAAAUUAUUAAUUCACUAAAGGCCUUAGAUUUAAUGUCCUCAGUCCUGAACUUAUGAUGUUAAAUGACCAUCAAAAGCGUGUCCUCCAUAAGCUGCGGGUGAAUUUCCGUGUGGCAGCCUCUCCCCUGUGGAGAGAUGGCAGCCUGUGACAGUUCCCAGGGAGCGAGGGAUUCGGAGAGUCAGGCGGCGGGGGGCAGCAUCUGCAGGCAACAGACAGAUACUUCCGAGACCCCGAGGGACGUGCAUCUGUGCUCAGGCUCCCUGAGCCAGACCUGGGGGCGGGGUGGUGGGGGAUGAGAUGCCAGGUCCCAUUAAGAGGCAGGAAUUCUGGGCUGGGCCCUCCCCUGCCGGGCUGGCGUGGAGGGUGGCGUCCACCAAGGGGCUGAGGGCGGAGGGGGGUGGGGAGGCAGAGCAGUGGCCGAGAUCCAGGAUAGGGAGGAACCGGGCCAGACGAGCAAGGCCAACCAGCCCGGCCUCAGAGGGGCUGCACGUCCUGGGUCUCCUUGACCUUGGCAGGACUCGGAGGUCAUGUUUUAUGCAGAGGAACCUCUUCCAUUCCUCCCGUGUCUCUGGAGCAGGCAAAUGUUUUCCCUCAGUGCUUGAGCGCAGCAUUCCUAUAUUCCUCCAAGUUUUACUGUAUUAACGGAUGUUUUGUGGUGUGUUUAUUUGAGUUUGCCCUGAUCUUGUAUUUCUCAUUAUUAAAGCAAAACGCAUUUCUUGUUUUUGUCUGAACCUUUGACCCCCUGGCCUCUGAUCCUGAGGCUUCCUGGACACGCUCCUGGUCCCCCUCUAUUUCAGAAGGAGAACAGCGUAAUUAAUUGAGUUUGAUGAGGAGGAUUACAGGAAAUCCUCCUCAUCAAAUGUCAUUUUUAAACUUGCUGGGUGCCCGAGGUGCCCUUCUGCUAGUGGGUCCCUGUUGGGGAGGUCACACUGGCGGCCAGUCCACAUCUGUACCCGGCAAACAGUGCAAGUGACACCUUCCCAACCUCGCUGUCCCAUCCCUUGUUGAGAGUUUUAUUAAUUUAGAAGAGAUGCACUCAGAUGGAGUUGGAGAUAAAGCAGGGAUGGACACACUCUUCUCAGAACUCUCUCAAGUGGUCACAGGUGAGGGAUGGGACAGUGCCCCCACAUCCAUCAGGCGGCCGGGCCUUUGUCCCCAGGAGCUGCCCGCACCCCGCUCACCCGCCUUCCGGGCUGCACCUGCUGAGAGCACUUCCUCUGACUGUGAACUAUUCAAGAUGCAACCAAAGCUUUCAGAAUCAGGUGAAUUCCUCCGUGACAUAGAUGGUAACCCACUGUCCUUGCAGUCAGAUCAAGGCUUAAAAAGGAUACAGUCUUGAGCAAGAUCACAGGACCAGCAGGAGCCCAGGUUCGCUCUCCAGCCUUGCAGGUUUGCAGCAAGAUCCAGGCAUCAGUUCUGUGUCCGAAGGCAGCUGCUGGUCUGCAAGAGGCUGGGACCACCCCGUCUCCCUGCCCUGCAGGGGCUCUGCCUCAUCCACAGGAGCCUCUCCAUCCUCUUCCCCAAGUCUGCAGCAACUCGGCUCUGCGUCCUGGAUGUGUGGGGACACUCCCGGCAGGAGCUGCCAUUGCUGUUGAAGUCCCUGUGACUGGCCAGGAUGCUUUGUAACAGCUGGUGUCCUCUUGGCCGCCUGGGAACCACCGGCCGUGUCUGAAUUGCUAAGCCUUUGCACCAGAGCAAACAGAAGCUUGCCCUGCUCCCCAAAAACAAACCUGAUGAUGGUGGCACCCGUUUUCAAAGCGUCUUUCAGGCCCAGAACUGCAGCUUUUGGGAAGCCCUGCUUGCCCGGGGCCGAGGGGUCGCGUCAGGAAGCCUGGUCUUGGGCUGGCCUCCGCGUUGUGUUGUCUGCACUUGAGCCAGACCUCUUUCAGUGGCCGCCCACCCUCUGACACAGUUGCAUGUGGACUUCAUUUGUUCUACGAAACGGUGGUGUUUCGAGCCAACGCUGUGAUCUUGUCCUCAGGCGCCUCCCCGUGUAGCCUUCACAGUGGAGGCCCCCGUCCGGGCCACAUCUUGGAAACACUGGGCUGCUCUCUAAUGGCCACAGAGGUUGCUCGUUUCUGAAAAUGUAAGACGUAACUGCCCGGGAAGGGACGUGAAGCUUCUACCAUGGGCUUUCUUAUCCUGUCGAGCUGCACAUUCCAUCUGGUACAAGUUAGGGUUUUGUGGCUAGUGCGCUAAAAACCUGUGAGUCCUGAAGCCCUAAAUGUUACUUACAAGUACCACUCCUGAAGGCCAGUGGGAGGAGGCCCUAGUGGAACCCUGCGGUCCCCAUCUGCAGUGGAGGGGGUCCUAGCGGAACCCCUGUGGUCCCCAGCCUCCAGGGCCUCAUCUUAGGAAGCAGGAAAUAGCUGAAGUUCACUUGCACAGCUCCUCGUGAUGUCAGUUUCUCAGCAGAGACUGCCAAAGCCCUUCCAACCUUAUCAAUGGAAUAAUCUUAUUUAACGUCAAUCAAACUCACCAUGCACUUCAGGGAGAGUCCAUUUUCUUGUCUAUCUUUUGAAGACAGAUUCUGUGCAGUGCACUUACACUGCAGACUGGAAGCAAAGGCGUAGAAUUUGCCUCCCGUCUUCUCUGGCAAAAACAUAUGCGUCUCGGGAAGUUUCCAGGAAUGCAAGUGUCCCUGGCUAACUGCUUUUUGUCUGCGAGGCCCCUUCUUGAUUUCCUCUGGUAAACAGCAUAAACAGGCCAUGCCUUCUCGUGUUGGGCCCAUAGUGGUGUCCCAACAGCUCCCCAGGAACUGGCGUUCCCUCGAGCACCCAAACCCACACGGCAAGAGGUUUUCCAACAGCACCCGCCUUGGGAUUCACCACUGAUUCAUUCAGCAAGUGUUUACUAAGCCCCAGUUCUGUGCAAGGCCGCGGAGGACAAGAGUGACUAAGAGUGGCGAGAUCUAUGCCUUCACGGACUUACAUUCCUGUAGAAUGAAAGCAGCCAUCAAGCAAAUAAGCUGAAAACUGCAGAGACUUUGCGCAGGGCAGUGUGAGGCUGGCCGGGUGCAGCGUCCCCCGUGGAGGCUGUGCUAAGACCUCAGUUCCCUCCCGGGCCACCGAGGCUAUUUAGUAAACAGCAAGGCUGCAGUGAUGGGAUGAUGGUACCUUGUAGGUUUUGGUCCCUCAGUUCACGCUGUCUCCUGCUUUCUCAGAGCCUGACUGAGGGAAGUGUUAACUCCUCUCUGGGGAUGGAGGCCUUCGGAGGAAGGGGAGGGCUGGAUCAGAGCCUGGGGUGGAAACAGGGGUCCCUGCCUGGUCUCUGAUGUCACAGCAGAGGGAGGAGAGCUCCCCCAGAGACCCAUCUUGACGGUGGGUGCGAGCCAUGCCCGCGCCUGGAGAUGCCAAGGGGACUCAGGAGCAGCUGGGGGCUCUGGGCUCCGAGCGCUAAGCCUGAUGCCCAGGCCUGUGCCAGGGUGGCCAGGUGGACAGAGGGAGCUGGGCUGCAGCCAGGAGUGUCCAGUGUGGCCCUUGCAGAGAGGGGCCCAGGCCCUCAUGGGGCUCAGCCUCCCUGCCCCCACCCCACUUCUGGAGCUGUCCCCCCAGGUGUCACCAGAAGCCACCAGCGUGGCGGACCCAGCGCCGCCCUCCCCUGCACCCACACUGCAGGCAGCACAGCGACUCUGGAGGACGCGUGGCUCUGCAGCCCAGGACGUGCCCCGACCGCACCUGCAGGCCUCCCUCUUCUGGGGCCGUGGGCACUGGCUCCCUGCACCUGCCGUGGGCGCGCCUUCCUCCGGGCCGCAUACCUGGCACUGGGGUGCAGGCCCUGGCCUGCUCCACAUCCUGCUCUGCCUGCCUGCGGGCGUCUCCUCCUGCAGUCACCCCGAGCCUCUUGCACCACCAGGGUUUCCUGCCCCACCUGGCGGUGAGGUGGGGGCGGCUCCACCCUCUGCCUUCCAUCCACACAGCCCACAGCAACCUCCCUUCGGCCGUCUGCUGCAUGUCAAUCCUUUGCUUACUGUGGUUUUUCAAGAAGCAAACUGAUGACGAUGCUGUGGGCUCCAACUGCACAACACCCUGGACGAGAGGGAGGGGGCGGGGGGAACAGGGGUCUGUGAUGGUGGGAAGGUACCUGGAGGGCAUGGCUGGUGGUCCUUCCCUGUCAGAACCAACACACAAGCUCUUUGUAAAAUCAAGUUCUCUUUGCUCCUGGACCUUAAACAUCGCGGUCGUGGUUUCCAGCCCUAAGGGACCACAGGGAUGGGUGUGUUCAGAGUGGGCCGGCUCAGGGAUGCUGAGAAACAAGGGACAGCAUGCCGCUCAGACUGCACAGGUGGGAGCUGGGCCAUCUGCUGAGGCUUCUGCCUCUCGGAGCGCCGCCCACCAUCCCACUGGCCCCCAGGGCUUGACUGCGGGGCCUCUGUGUUCGUGCU
rnacentral:lncRNA from 1 species